AGACGAGGAGCAACCCCCAAACCCCGAGCCCCAGGCCACCGAGCGCAGGAACUGGGGAGGAGGAGCGGUUUUCGCCCCUGGGGGCGUUUAGUCAGAAAUGUUAGGAGAAGGUGCCUGAGGGAGGGGCCGCCAGUCGCAGCGGAGACUCCCCGUCCCCUCUCACCUCAGGGCUUCGGCGUUGGGGUCCGGCCUACAAUCUCUUCUUCUGCCCAAGCGAAAUCCAGGGGAGUGACACUGGAGGCGUCUGCACCCACAGGGGUCCAGAGAGGUGGGGUCCUGCUGUGUCUGCAAAAGAAAUGAAUUGCUGCUGUGGGAAGAAUAACAACUGUUUUUAGAAAAUGUUCAUAGCUGACCGAUUAAGCCAAUCUGUAGAACUCAAGUCAGCUUCUUCUUCUCCUUUAAGUCUCAGCUGGAGUUGAAUUUGAAUUAUUUCCUCAAAUUUUAAAUUGCUGGUUUUUGGAAAGCAAUGAGCACUGAAGGAUGCUAAAGGAAGAUGGCUUGCCACCUCCAAGGCUCUUAAACCAGAUGUGCUGUGGGUUCUGAAAGCAGUGCCCAACAAAGAGCUCCAGAAACGUUUUGAGCAAUGGCAGCAAUGGAAGCACCUACACAAUAAGUGACAGCCUUCCAAGAUGACUUGAUAGAUGAGAACACACUAAAAUGUUUGUGUAAGUUCUGGUGUAGUUGUUAACAUGCAGACAUUAGUUAGACCUUGGUUAUACCGUUUCAGCCCUCCAGCUGAGAGUUAGGGACAAAAUUAUUCCUAACAUAUUGUACUUCAAAAAAUGGUACAUCCUUUAGGUGCAUCUUGCAGAUUUCACACAAAAUGUUUUAAUAUUUAGGAUCUAGAUAUUGUUUUGAAUGAUUUCAAGCAUUAUCCAAGAAAGAUGAAAACUAUAACUGAGAUAAACAUAUUGAGUAUGUUUUUAUAUUUUUAUUAAACCAAUUAAUUUUAA
rnacentral:lncRNA from 1 species